AAGUUAGCGGCGGACGGGUGAGUAACACGUGGGUAACCUACCCAUAAGACUGGGAUAACUCCGGGAAACCGGGGCUAAUACCGGAUAAUAUUUUGAACUGCAUAGUUCGAAAUUGAAAGGCGGCUUCGGCUGUCACUUAUGGAUGGACCCGCGUCGCAUUAGCUAGUUGGUGAGGUAACGGCUCACCAAGGCGACGAUGCGUAGCCGACCUGAGAGGGUGAUCGGCCACACUGGGACUGAGACACGGCCCAGACUCCUACGGGAGGCACCAGUAGGGAAUCUUCCGCAAUGGACGAAAGUCUGACGGAGCAACGCCGCGUGAGUGAUGAAGGCUUUCGGGUCGUAAAACCCUGUUGUUAGGGAAGAACAAGUGCUAGUUGAAUAAGCUGGCACCUUGACGGUACCUAACCAGAUAGCCACGGCUAACUCCGUGCCAGCAGCCGCGGUAAUACGUAGGUGGCAAGCGUUAUCCGGAAUUAUUGGGCGUAAAGCGCGCGCAGGUGGUUUCUUAAGUCUGAUGUGAAAGCCCACGGCUCAACCGUGGAGGGUCAUUGGAAACUGGGAGACUUGAGUGCAGAAGAGGAAAGUCCAAUUCCAUGUGUAGCGGUGAAAUGCGUAGAGAUAUGGAGGAACACCAGUGGCGAAGGCGACUAACUC
rnacentral:rRNA from 1 species